UGUGAAAGACCACCUCUCCUAGGAUGCACUGCGGUGCGUCCAGCUUCACUUCCUUCUUAGGCGGAGGGGAGGAUACUGGGAAGCUUGUUUGGUAAAAGGAGAGUUAAAGGGGAUGGUGAUCGGAAAUAGAGGUUUGGAGUUCAUGACUUCUCUAGAAGGAGGGGAGGGAGAUGAAAGGCUCCGUCCCGGUGAAGAAGAAUUUCUAGUAUGGUGCUUCUCAACUUCCUGGAUGGCUUUUAGCAAACCUGACGAUAAAACUGAUGCACAGUGGGGUUAAGUAACUUGCUCAGUGUUUCACUGCUGAGGCAUUCCUUGUUUUCUUGCAUUUCGUUUUAUUGUGUUUCCCAGAUACUGCAUUUUUACAAAUUGAAGGUUUGUGGCAACCCUGCAUCAGAGUGAAUUUCUGGCUCCAUUCUCUAACAGCAUUUGCUCACUUUGUGUCUCUGUGUCCAUUCCUGGUGAAGAUGCUGUGAAGAUUGUUGAAAUGACAAACAAAGGAUUUGUAAUAUUGCAUAACUUUGUUGAUAAAGCAGCAGCAUUAUUUGAGAGGACUGACUCCAGUUUUGAAAGAGGUUUUCCUGUGGGUAAAGUGCUACCAAACAGCAUUGCAUGCUACAGAGAAAUCAUCUAUGAAAGGAGGAGUCAGUGCAGCAUAUUUCACUGUUGUCUUUUAAGAAAUUUCCACAACCACUCCAACGUUCAACAUUGAUCAGUCAGCAGCCAUCAACUUUGAGGCAAGACCCUCCACCAGCAACAAGAAUCUAACUCACUGAAGGCUCAGAUAAUGCUUAGCAUUUUUUAGCAAUAAAGUAUUUUUAAAUUAAGGUUCAGAACCUUUCAGAUCAACUUACCUGUAAGUUCAGUACGUGAAAUAGAUAAACGCAGUUGAAAUCGGUCAAGAUAAGAGUUACCUCAACCUGCCAGCAUCCCCUGCCCUCAUUCCUGGUCUCUGCACAGAGAAGCUCCAGGGGGUACUUUGGAAGCCAUUGGAAGAAAAUCAUUCCCUCAUAAAUGACUUGAAAUGCCACAUCUGUAAUAUGCUACAUUAAAAUGUUUAUUCCAAUUA